UCAGGGAAGGCCCGGCGGGAGACCGACUUCUCACGUGGCUGUGCUGCCCACAGGGUGGAGGCAUGUCAUCCACAUCCACUUCCUGCCCGGGAAGAGCUUCGCCAUUGCGUACUUCAGGGGCAAAAUGAACUAUCAGUACUACCAGAUGAUGAUGCUCAUGGGCCGCACCCUGAAAGCUGACCCAGAUGCUCUGAGGAUCUUCAAGGAGUUUGUGAUGAGUAAAAUGCCCCAAACUGGAAAGAUCAUUAUCCCUCCCCAUAUUGAAGCCUGUGAGUUGGUCCAAGAUUCCUAGUGCACUGAGGGAGUGCUGCAGAGUGCAUGCAGGAAGCAGGAGCUGGGACCCUGGCUGACCUCUGCACCUAUGUGUAGAACUCUCAGUGUCGAAGAGCACAGGCCCAACACCUACUCAUCCCCCAUAAGUCUGCAUUCAAUAAAUUUGGUUGAUAUCCC